rnacentral:lncRNA from 1 species
UGCUGUUUAAAAUGAAUGGAUCUCUAUUUCAAGAUGGCAUGUCUAGUACACUUACGUGCACCGCCUCACAAGCACACUGAAAUGACAGAAAAGGUAAGAAAAUAGAUGCAUAGACAAAAGAUUACAGAGAAAGGUGCUAUUAACAAAUGUGUUAUGUUACAGUUUCUUGGAACUUCCCAAGCAGAUGGGAAUUAUGAAACCAAAAGAAAAAUGACAUUCAUAGAAGAAGAAAUAAAAUUUGCCAAUAAGGUUAUUAAUAGAUGUUUAACAUCACUAACUGGACAUACUGCCAGUUGAAACAAUGAUGGCUGGGUGCAGUGGCUCACACCUGUAAUUCCGGCACUUUGGGAGGCUGAGGCAGGAGGACUGUUUGAGCCCAAGAGUCUGAGACCAGCCUGGGCAACAUAGCGAAACCCUGUCUCUACAAAAAAUACAAAAAUUAGCUGGGUGUGGUGGUGUCUGCCUGUAGUCUUGGCUACUCAGGAGGCUAAGGUGGGAGGAUCACUUGAGCCCAGGAGGACAAGACUGCAGUGAGCCGUGACUGUGCCACUGCAUACCAGCUUGGGCAACAGAGCAGAGCUGUUUCAAAACAAAACAAAACAAAACAGAACAGAAGAACAGAACAGAACAGAACAGGACACAAUGAGAACAUUUUUCAUCCAUCCAAUUGGCAAAUAAUUUCUAGAGCUGGUGAGAAGAUGGGGAAAUUGGAAUGUUUGGUCCCCGCUGGUGGGUGUGUUGUUGGUACAGCAUUUUUGGAUGGCAAUUUGGCAGUAUCAAGAUUUUAGGUGAAUAUACUCUUAGACCUAACAACUUCUUCUUAGAACGAACCUACAAAAAAUAGACAAGGAUAAGUGCAACGAUGUUCACUGUGGCGUGGGUUAGUAACAAUAAAACCUCCUAAACAUCUGCCAAAGGAAUAAUGGUUAAAUAAGGUAUGGCACGUGCAGUCUGUGGAAUUCCAGGCAGUUAUUAUAGACAAUGAGCUGGAUCCAUGUGAACUGAUGGGGAAGGAUGUUCCCACUACAGAAUAUAAGCACAUGAGGGCAGGGUUUUGCAUUUGCUUCCUCCUGUCUCCCUAAUGCCUAGAACAGUGUCAGACACAUAGUGCAUGCUCAGAAAGUAUUUGUCAAAUGAAUGGAUACACUUUCUAGGACACUAUGAAUUAGGACAAUGGACUGAAAAAUAAGCAGAAAAUUUAAACACACCAGUGACCACAGUGCAACUGCAACUGACGAUCAGUUUCCACCAAACUGCAACAGAGAGAGUGGCUUUGCCGGUGAGUUCUGUCAAACUACUGUGUUAUUUAAACAUUAUUUGGCCUUACAACUAAGGUGAGGCCCUUGGGCCUCUACUGAAGGCCCAAUGUGUUCAACAAGGGCUCUCCAUGCUGCCUAAGGGAACACAUCUGAUUUGCAGCCCUGAAUGAACUCUGGGACUCAUUCAUCAUGCAUGUACUUUCCUCAGAAGUUGCUCUUACCCAGCCUUGCGGGGCUGCAGCCAGAUCUCCCACGAGUGGUAAUGUAACAUGAAAACAAUGAGCCACAUCUUCAAAAUUCCAAAGGAAAAUGACCCUCAACCUAGAGUUUCCUAUCUAGGCAAGUAUUAAUCAAGUGUAAGGGCAGAAUAAUGACACUUCCAGAUGAGAGGUAUACAAAUUUACCUUACCUGCACCCAUUUACAAGAAGCUAGUGAAGGUUGUGCUCUUUAAAACAUGAUGGAAUUUACCAAGAAAGAGGAGGACUUGGCUUAGGAAAGAGAAGAUCCAGUAGAGAAGGGGAGUGACAGGAAUCUGCAGGAAAUGAUGAAGGGCAAUCCCAGGAUGUUAGCUGCACACCAGAGAUGAGGAGACAGACUAGGACCCCUGCUCCAUUAGACCUCCAGGUCCCAAACACCAGGUGAGCCAGGGCCUUGGCCUGUCUUGCCCAUGGCUGAUGAAGUGUUGUACUCUCUAUCAAACCCUGCAGUCUGGGCCAGCUGAGGACUCUCCUUGGAACCCAAAGAAGCAGUUUGUUUCCACCUACUCCCAAGAGCUGAAGAUUAUAAGCCAGAAGCAAACAAAGGCAGGCAAGGAAAUUUGAGGUUGUUGCAUCUGGAAGUAAACAUGUAGCUACUUCUUCUAAUAAAACAGAGGAGCACUGAGAUCUGCUAUAAUCAACACUCUUAUUGGAAGCAUUACUGUUCCGUGAAAAAU